rnacentral:lncRNA from 12 species
AAAAAAGAAAAGACCUCUUUCUUCCCUUGUGAAGUUGGAAUCCUGCAACCCUGAGCGGACCCGAGGCUCCCCGCUCUCCCUCGGACCAGCCCCUGCAGUCAGCCUCGCUGGACGUGCGCAGCCGGUGGCUUCGAGACCGUAGACCUCUUCCCUUUGGACCCUAUGAACACCUACAGCUGGACUUCAUCAACUGCCACUUGAUAUGGGCUGUCAAUAUGUCCCUGUUCUGUUUGUAUGUUUUUCUAGAUGGGUUGAAGCUGUUCCCCACAGCAAGUCUGCUGCCUUUACAAUGGAAAAAAAAUAUGUUUAAAAAUGUACUUCCCAUUUGGGGUACACCUUCUAUAAUCUCUAAUGAUUGGGGCACCCACUUCACUGGGCAAAUCACAUGAGCCUUAAUAAAAGCCUUAAAACUUCUUAAAAUUCUAGCA